AUGAGUAUCCUAUGCUGGAACUGUCGCGGCCUGGGGUCGAACGCGACAGUGGGCGAGCUUCGCUGGUUAGUGAAGACUUAUCGACCCUCGAUCCUCUUCUUGUCGGAGACCAAGAUGGUGGAUCGUAAAGCAAAGAACUUUAUGUGGUUUUUGGGCUACUCUGGUUCUUUCGCUGUUAGCUCCGAAGGCCUCAGUGGAGGCUUGGCCCUUUUCUGGUCUUCGCCACAUUCAGUUUUGCUGAAGGGUUUCAACUCACAUUGCAUUGAUGUGACGGUCUCAUCGGAUGAUCUGGCUCCUUGGCGGGUGACCUUUGUUUAUGGGGAACCAAAGCGCGAGCUUCGUCAUGAAUUUUGGAGCUUGAUAAGGAGGUUGUCCCGGUCGUGGAAGGGCCCGUGGAUUUGCUGUGGCGAUUUCAACGAGGCUCUCUGCCAUGAUGAGCACUUUGGGGCUCGUGACCGAUCGGAUGCCUAG
rnacentral:rRNA from 1 species